GUGAGGCUCUCUCCCACCUUUCCCAAGAUCUUGGCUAUGGGAGAGAAGAAGACAGACGGAGACAGAGGGAAAGGACCACUCACAGCUGACACUCAGGCAAUUAGAAAGUCAUCUAAGCAGCAAGAAAUGUGGUUUCGGACACUGACCUGAUCAUAGACGGACUGUCUUCCAGCACUUUGACUUCUCCAGGCCUGUUUCUCAUCUGAGAAAGCAGCCACCCUCUACCCAACUGAAGCCCCAGGACCAUCUGCCUCUGGCAUCACUCGCAGCCCUACCUGAUCCAGUCGGAAUUCUGGACAGCCAGUUGACACAUGACCAGACGAUGCCGGCUCGACACAAGGCCCUGGGAAGCAAC